rnacentral:misc_RNA from 1 species
UUUCUUGAAUGUAGUGCUAAAACUCGAGAAAAUGUGCAAAACUGCUUUGAAGAGCUUGCCUUAAAGAUAAUGGAGGUGCCUAGUCUCCUUGAAGAAGGAUCCACUGUAGGGAAGAGAAAUAUCUUGAAACAGAAACAAGAACAGCAAACACAACAGGGCGGUGGUGGUUGCUGCUCAUGAUAAAAAAAAUUGUGCACUAGAUGUGCACAUAUCAAAUAUGUAUAUGCUGUUUUCUUUUCUCCUUUACUGUUUUUAUCUUGCUGCUGCUUUGAAAGUGGUUAGUAGUCUCAUGUAAAGUAAUUGAUCGAUGUUGGUCAUUGACCAAUGUUCUUGUUAAUAUUUGCCAGAUUGCUG